rnacentral:rRNA from 1 species
UUCGCGGCACACUGGAAUCCGACGGAUCACUCGAAACUUGCUUCAAGUAACUUAGCGGCGGACGGGUGAGUAACACGUAGGCAACCUGCCCCUUAGACUGGGAUAACUACCGGAAACGGUAGCUAAUACCGGAUAAUUUCUUUUUUCUCCUGAAGAAAGAAUGAAAGACGGAGCAAUCUGUCACUGAGGGAUGGGCCUGCGGCGCAUUAGCUAGUUGGUGGGGUAACGGCCCACCAAGGCGACGAUGCGUAGCCGACCUGAGAGGGUGAACGGCCACACUGGGACUGAGACACGGCCCAGACUCCUACGGGAGGCAGCAGUAGGGAAUCUUCCGCAAUGGGCGAAAGCCUGACGGAGCAACGCCGCGUGAGUGAUGAAGGUUUUCGGAUCGUAAAGCUCUGUUGCCAGGGAAGAACGUCCGGUAGAGUAACUGCUAUCGGAGUGACGGUACCUGAGAAGAAAGCCCCGGCUAACUACGUGCCAGCAGCCGCGGUAAUACGUAGGGGGCAAGCGUUGUCCGGAAUUAUUGGGCGUAAAGCGCGCGCAGGCGGCUAUUUAAGUCUGGUGUUUAAACCUUGGGCUCAACCUAAGGUCGCACUGGAAACUGGGUGGCUUGAGUACAGAAGAGGAAAGUGGAAUUCCACGU